rnacentral:rRNA from 1 species
UACAGAGGGGGCAAGCGUUGUUCGGAAUUAUUGGGCGUAAAGGGCUCGUAGGCGGUUUGUCGCGUCGGGAGUGAAAACCAGGUGCUUAACACCUGGCUUGCUUUCGAUACGGGCAGACUAGAGGUAUUCAGGGGAGAACGGAAUUCCUGGUGUAGCGGUGAAAUGCGCAGAUAUCAGGAGGAACACCGGUGGCGAAGGCGAGGUGCUGGACCCUUUCUGACGCUGAGGCGCGAAAGCCAGGGGAGCAAACGGG